rnacentral:rRNA from 1 species
UGGCGACCGGCGCACGGGUGAGUAACACGUAUCCAACCUGCCGAUAACUCCGGGAUAGCCUUUCGAAAGAAAGAUUAAUACCGGAUGGCAUACGAAUAUCGCAUGAUAUUCUUAUUAAAGAAUUUCGGUUAUCGAUGGGGAUGCGUUCCAUUAGUUUGUUGGCGGGGUAACGGCCCACCAAGACUACGAUGGAUAGGGGUUCUGAGAGGAAGGUCCCCCACAUUGGAACUGAGACACGGUCCAA